CGACACACCGAGUGUAUGCGCAAUAUCAACAUAACAGCGUUCUGUCUGAAAAUUGCUUUUUCGCGAUUAUUUUGUGUAUACGCGAAAUCAAGGGGGAAAUCUGUGCGCGUUAUUUUCUCGAUAAAAUUCAACGGUAACCGGGUGGAAAUGUGUAUUUUCUACGACGGAAAGUGAGUGCUACACCAAGGAACAGCAGAAUUGUGGAUUUCACGCCUUCAAACGAACUGCAAGCGGCAACCAAAACAUAAAAACCUUCUCUAUUCCGUCCCUAGAUUUGACCGCAUAAUAGUCACAUUGAGCUUCCAGCACCAGAAGGCGUGUGUGCGAUGCAUACGCUGAGGUGUAGCGACACGACCACGACAACGGCUACCGCCGCAGGUGCCAUAACCAGUGGAAGUGGAAGUACUGCUGGUGUUGCCGGUGGAGGACCGGUGACAGGUGGCGGUAGUACUGCCGGUAUAGCAGGAACAUCAAUCCUUCAGCUUCAACAGCAAUCCCCGCUUCAGCCUCAGCAGCAGCAGCCAGGGUCACAACUACCAAAAGGAGGUCCCGUUCGGCUCAACGGUAUCAAAGGCUACCAAAACCGAACCAACCAUAUCAUUUACUGUCCACCGCUGCUACGCUCCAAAGAUGAAUGUACGGCGGUCGUCUAUUUCGGUGGUGAUGUGCAGGAUAUCCCGGAAAAAAUGGAAACCAACCGGGACAACAAAAACUACAUCAAAUGGAAUCUGGAAAACACUGCCCUGCUGUUGAGAGAUUCGUUUCCCAGAGCGCACAUAGUAGUCGUACGGCCGAUGCGCAUGGAGUAUAGCACUUUUAGCUGUUUUGAUAAUUUUGUCCGCGGAAACAAUGCAGGCAUUCCCGAUCAUACACCAAUGCACUAUUCACUGCAACAUUUAGAAGAAUUGCUUAUCAAUUUAACGAAAAAACUGACAAAGCCUGUGUUAGAACCGGACUUACUGCAUAAGCUAAUAGCAGCCACAAACUCAACACUCUGUGGGACGAGUCUAGAUGGUAGUCAGGAAAUAGAUGUAGACGUUCUACAGUCCGAUCUGCAAAAUAGUACAGCGUCGUCGGAAGCCAAUACAUCGACCUCAGCCAUCAACAGCAGCAAUGCCAGCGCAGCGGACAUCAGUGAGAUUCUGUGGUGGCGAGAAAAUUUAAACCUCGAUAAGGCAAACCUCGCAUUAAUGGGUUUCAGCAAGGGCUGCGUCGUCCUCAAUCAGUUUAUCUACGAGUUUCACUACUAUAAAACACUGACACCGGACGACAGCACAAUGAUGCGGUUGGUUUCACGAAUAAAGGACAUGUAUUGGUUGGACGGCGGUCACGGGGGUGGGAAAAACACUUGGAUCACGUCACGAAGUCUGCUGGAGACGCUGUGCCGGCUGGGGAUCAGUGUCCACGUGCACGUUACGCCAUAUCAGAUCCAAGACGACCACCGGCCCUGGAUACGGAAAGAGGAGAAAGCGUUCACUGACCUGCUGAAACGUCUUGGUGCGCCCUUUGAUCGCCACCUCUACCCCAGCGAGGCCAAUUCAACCAAUUUGUUCACGCACUUCGAGGUGCUGAACCGAUUCCGGCAGUACCAGAUCAACGUUUUCGCACAACAGCAUCUACAGCAGCAACAGCAGCUAACCGCUACAAACUUGUCAACGACGGCUUCACCAGCUGAAGAAGACAGCGUGCAUGGGCAACCGCAGCCACAGGCUAUGCUGGUUAGCCACGAGGAAACUGAUCAAACUAGCGAACCCGUGCAAAUGAUUACCGGUAACGAUACGGACAUUGACGAUGACAAGAUUACGGACGACGAUGAUGAGGAGAACGGCUCUAAGUGAAUAAUGCUCGGUGCACGAGGCCAGUGAAUCGUAUUUCCCAAUGUAUGUGAUUCCAGUGAUGAGCGUUUCUCGGAGGAUCGCUCACUCUUCUCUACCAACCAAGUCAUUUUCUCCAGCAGCAUUUCCUAUUUGAGUUACGUCGGUAAAAACAGGCAAACGGAUCACGCAGCAAACUCCAUUAGUAUGCUGUACUAGGUGAUCUAGCAAUUGUACAGCUAAUGCUAUCGGUAUAACUCUUCUAGCAUGCCAUUUAUUUUGCGUGAAUAUCUGUCAAUACAGAUUGUAUUUUCCGGAGUAUAGAUUAUAUUUUUUUUUUAAAGAUACUUUAAAAUGCAGGAUCGUGUGAGAGGCGUAUGAUAAUAUAUUUUUGAUAUAAUUUUCUUUUGGACGAUAUUAGGUUUAUGUUAAACAACUUACUAGCCAAAACUAGCUAACGUUGGUGAGUUCACAGGGGAAUCGAUAUUUCUGACUAAGUUAAGCAGUGAAAACAAACACAACAAAAAUAGCAACAAAAUUCAAAGUAUUAAUUUUGGAUCAAAGUUUUUGAAAAGCCAGAAAAGUUUUUUCCGAAGCUUAAACCUAUUUUUCAUUAGGUGUAGAUGCAUCUUGUUAAUUCGAGAAUAUCUAAAAUUGUAUCUUGAUGAAAUUAAAACAGAUUUUAAAAAUAUAAAACAAUCAAAACAAAAUUUAAAUUUUUUCGAAUGAAUGGUCAAAAGUAAUGUUUGCUAAAAAAAAAAAGAAAUUUUAUUGCGAAUAUGUAAGCGAUUUGUCACGUUUGAAUCUUACAGCGUCUUUUAAUCCGAUAGAAUAUAAAGAAAGGCAGGAUCGUGUCAUCAACAUUUGCGAGUAGAUACUAUUCGUAAAUAUAUGAUACUAAAUUAA